rnacentral:rRNA from 1 species
AGCAGCCGCGGUAAUUCCAGCUCCAAUAGCGUAUAUUAAAGUUGUUGCAGUUAAAAAGCUCGUAGUUGAAUUUCGAGACCGGCUUACUGGUCGUGCUAUUGUGCGUACUGGUAUAAUCGGUUUCUCCUUUCUGACGAACUAUAAUGCCAUUAAUUUGGUGUUAUAGGGAAUCAGGACUGUUACUUUGAAAAAAUUAGAGUGUUUAAAGCAGGCUCACGCUUGAAUACAUUAGCAUGGAAUAACGGAAUAGGACGUUUGAUUCUAUUUUGUUGGUUUCUAGGAUCGACGUAAUGAUUAAUAGGGAUAGUUGGGGGCAUUAGUAUUCAAUUGUCAGAGGUGAAAUUCUUGGAUUUAUUGAAGACUAACUACUGCGAAAGCAUUUGCCAAGGAUGUUUUCAUUAAUCAAGAACGAAAGUUAGGGGAUCGAAGACGAAUCAGAUACCGUCGUAGUCUUAACCAUAAACUAUGCCGACUAGGGAUCGGAUGAUGUUAAUUUUUAAUGACUCAUUCGGCGCCUUAA